GACGAGGGAUCCUAGCGUUGUUCGGAACCAUUGGGCGUAAAGCGGAUGUAGGUGGCUUUGUAAGUCGGAUGUGAAAGCCCAGGGCUCAACCCUGGAAGUGCAUUCGAUACUGCGAAGCUUGAGUGCUAGAGAGGUUACUAGAAUACCUGGUGUAGUGGUGAAAUACGUAGAUAUCAGGUGGAAUACCGGAGGCGAAGGCGGGUAACCAGCUAGACACUGACACUGAGAUCCGAAAGUGUGGGGAUCAAACGGG
rnacentral:rRNA from 1 species